UCGUAACAAGGUCUCCGUUGGUGAACCAGCGGAGGGAUCAUUACUGAGUUAUUAAAACUCCAAACCCUUUGUGAACCUUACUGUCGUUGCCUCGGCGUGAGCUACGGCUACCCUGUAGUUACCCUAUAGCUACCCUGCAGCUACCCUAUAGUUGACCAGUAGCUACCCUGUAGUUACCCUAUAGCUACCCUGCAGCUACCCUAUAGUUGAUAUGUAGCUACCCUGUAGCCGGCUUAUGGCCCGCCGAAGGACCGCUAAACUCUUGUUUUUUUACCACUGUUUCUCUGAAUUGUAAACUUAAAUAAGUUAAAACUUUCAACAACGGAUCUCUUGGUUCUGGCAUCGAUGAAGAACGCAGCGAAAUGCGAUAAGUAAUGUGAAUUGCAGAAUUCAGUGAAUCAUCGAAUCUUUGAACGCACAUUGCGCCCAUUAGUAUUCUAGUGGGCAUGCCUAUUCGAGCGUCAUUUCGACCCUUAAGCCCCUGUUGCUUAGCGUUGGGAAUCUACAGCGUAGUUCCUUAAAGUUAGUGGCGGAGUUAGGGUACACUCUCAGCGUAGUAAUCUUUCUCGCUCGUGUGGUGGCCCUGGCUGCUAGCCGUUAAACCCCUAUAUUUUCUAGUGGUUGACCUCGGAUUAGGUAGGAAUACCCGCUGAACUUAAGCAUAUCAAUA
rnacentral:misc_RNA from 1 species